rnacentral:rRNA from 1 species
UACGAAGGGGGCGAGCGUUGUUCGGAUUUACUGGGCGUAAAGGGCGCGCAGGCGGCUCAUUUUGUCAGGCGUGAAAGCCCCGGGCUUAACCUGGGAACUGCGUUUGAUACGGAUGGGCUAGAGUUCGGGAGAGGAGAGUGGAAUUCCCAGUGUAGAGGUGAAAUUCGUAGAUAUUGGGAAGAACACCGGUGGCAAAGGCGGCUCUCUGGACCGAUACUGACGCUGAGGCGCGAAAGCGUGGGGAGCAAACAGG